UACAGAGGUCUCAAGCGUUGUUCGGAUUCAUUGGGCGUAAGGGUGCGUAGGCGGCGCGGUAAGUCGGGUGUGAAAUCUUGGAGCUUAACUCCGAAACUGCAUUCGAUACUGCCGUGCUUGAGGACUGGAGAGGAGACUGGAAUUGACGGUGUAGCGGUGAAAUGCGUAGAUAUCGUAAGGAAGACCAGUGGCGAAGGCGGGUCUCUGGGACAGUUCCUG
rnacentral:rRNA from 1 species